CAGUAGCCGCGGUAAUACGUAGGUCCCGAGCGUUGUCCGGAUUUAUUGGGCGUAAAGCGAGCGCAGGCGGUUAGAUAAGUCUGAAGUUAAAGGCUGUGGCUUAACCAUAGUACGCUUUGGAAACUGUUUAACUUGAGUGCAAGAGGGGAGAGUGGAAUUCCAUGUGUAGCGGUGAAAUGCGUAGAGAUGUGGAGGAACACCAGUGGCGAAGGCGACUCUCUGGUCUGCAACUGACGCUGAGGAGCGAAAGCGUGGGGAGCGAACAGGAUUAGAUACCCCAGUAGUCCCUGUCUCUUAUACC
rnacentral:rRNA from 1 species